AGAGUUUGAUCCUGGCUCAGGACGAACGCUGGCGGCGUGCUUAACACAUGCAAGUCGAGCGAGAAAGGUCCUUCGGGACUGAGUACAGCGGCGAACGGGUGAGUAACACGUGGGUAACCUACCCCGAAGACCGGGACAACAGCUCGAAAGGGCUGCUAAUACUGGAUGACGUGCCACCUGCUAAGUGGGUGUCACCAAAAGGUAGCUUCGGCCUCCGCGUCGGGAUGGGCCCGCGCAGCAUUAGCUUGUUGGUAGGGUAACGGCCUACCAAGGCUGCGAUGCUUAGCUGGUCUGAGAGGACGAUCAGCCACACUGGGACUGAGAUACGGCCCAGACUCCUACGGGAGGCAGCAGUGGGGAAUCUUGCGCAAUGGGCGAAAGCCUGACGCAGCAACGCCGCGUGAGCGAAGAAGGCCUUCGGGUUGUAAAGCUCUGUCAGGAGGGACGAAGCCACUCGGGUGAAUAGCCCAGAGGGUGACGGUACCUCCAGAGGAAGCCCCGGCUAACUACGUGCCAGCAGCCGCGGUAAUACGUAGGGGGCAAGCGUUGUCCGGAAUUAUUGGGCGUAAAGAGCGUGUAGGCGGCUUGUCAAGUCCGGUGUGAAAUCUCGGGGCUCAACCCCGAAACUGCAUUGGAAACUGGCUUGCUAGAGUCCGGAAGAGGAGAUUGGAAUUCCUGGUGUAGCGGUGAAAUGCGCAGAUAUCAGGAAGAACACCCGUGGCGAAGGCGGAUCUCUGGGACGGUACUGACGCUGAGACGCGAAAGCGUGGGGAGCAAACAGGAUUAGAUACCCUGGUAGUCCACGCCGUAAACGAUGGGCACUAGGUGU
rnacentral:rRNA from 1 species